CACCUAUAUCUGCACAGGAGACCCCCUCUCAUAUAUCAGACCUUCUUCAGAAAGCCUCAAUCCAUUUCCUUGAUUCCACUAAAUCAAGCAUAAAUUGUGAAGUGAGUAUUCCAAGAUUUAUUAUAGUUCGUGGGUUCAAAAACUUCUUUUGCUCCUUUUCUCACA
rnacentral:lncRNA from 1 species